rnacentral:rRNA from 1 species
CCUACGGGAGGCAGCAGUAGGGAAUCUUUCACAAUGGGCGAAAGCCUGAUGGAGCAACGCCGCGUGCAGGAUGAAGGCCUUCGGGUUGUAAACUGCUUUUAUAAGCGAGAAAUAUGAUGGUAACUUAUGAAUAAGGAUCGGCUAACUACGUGCCAGCAGCCGCGGUCAUACGUAGGAUCCGAGCAUUAUCCGGAGUGACUGGGUGUAAAGAGUUGCGUAGGUGGCAUAAUAAGUAGCUAGUGAAAUCUGGUGGCUCAACCAUUCAGACUAUUAGCGAAACUGUUAAGCUCGAGACCGUUAGGGGUAACUGGAAUUCGUAGUGUAGGGGUGAAAUGCGUAGAUAUUAGAAGGAACACCAAUAGCGUAGGCAGGUUACUGGAACGGUUCUGACACUAAGGCACGAAAGCGUAGGUAGCAAACGGGAUUAGAUACCCCAGUAGUC